UAGAGGGGCUAUAUACAGUAGAGGCUAUAUACAGUAGUGAGGCUCUAUACAGUAGAGAGUCUAUAUACAGUAGAGAGGCUAUAUACAGUAGAGAGGCUAUAUACAGUAGAGAGGCUAUAUACAGUAGAGAGGCUAUAUACAGUAGAGAGGCUAUAUACAGUAGGUGUGUAAUGUUUACUGUCUGUUUAUUUAACUUGCUUUGGGAAUGUAAACAUGUGUCCCACGCCAAUAAAGGCCUUUAGAAUUACAUGGCUGCAGCAUUGUCGGCUGUCCGUUCAACUGAGUGUUUCUGGCGCCACCUGCCGGCUGUUUGAGAGAAGACACGCUGGGAUCCGACAUUGCCGCUUGUCUAACUGUCAUUGGAUGGGAUUUUGAAUGAUUAAGCCUGACUGGGUACAUCCACUGUCAAUCAAAUGAAACCGGAAGAAAUAAAGGUUCCAUAUGAAAUCAAUGUGUACGGACAGCGGUGUGUCCUUACCGAGCCGUUACGGUGAGUCUGUGUUGAUUGUAUAACUGUUGUCUGGUUUGAAACGUCUGUUGGUUAUUUGCAUGUGAACGCGACAUGAACCUAAACCUUCAGCCAAUAGUGUUAUCUUGUUGUGAACCGUUUCCUCAGCCAUGCCAACUUCCCCGGUAAAGACGCGGAUCCCGCUCACGAGCUUCGGUCAUCUGAUCACCGAGGUGAAGGUCGGUAAACGGAGUGACCCCCCUAGACUGUCUUCCCCACACACUAAGUCUGGAAUGAACAGCUUCUACAUCCAAGCCAUAAAACGGCUAAAUAUACUGAACAAAAUAUAUAAACGCAACUAUUUCUAUAUCCUGGCGUGGUUGUGAGGCCGGUUGUAACGAGAUUGGAGGCGCUUUAUUGUAAAAAAAAAAAUAUGAACAUCAAAAUCUCUGGCAACAGCUCCGGUGGACAUUCCUGUAGUCAUCAGCCAAUUGCUCGCUCCUUCAACUUGAGACAUCUGUUGUUGUCAACUGCACCAGAUGAACCUGGGUAAUGAUCGCGCUGUUUAAUCAGCUUGUUGAUGUGCCACAGCUGUCAGGUGGAUGGAUUAUCUUGUCUCGGGAUAAAUGCUCACUAACAGGGAUAUAAACACAUUUGAAUGGAAAAUGUCAGAGAUGUUCUUAUUUCAGCUCAUGAAACACGGGACCAGCACUUUACACGUUGGUGUUUAUAUUUUAGUUCAAGAGACAGUUGUUUGGUAUGGAGGCUCCAGCCACUGUUAACCUGACUGGAUGGAGGAGACAUUUCAACAGCUACACACUACAGGGGAGACGCAACUUUGUCCUGGCUACCUAUGGUGUCCUAGCGUUGUCGGCAGCAGCCUAUAUGAUACGCCAUCGGAGUAAAGAGGACCCAAGAGUAGCCAGCCCCACUGCCUGACUGAAAAGACUGACACCCUCAAUAUCAAUGUCCCAACGCUUUAUUGGCCUGAUAUUGACAUUGAUUUCCAAUACUACCGAAUCAGAGAUUCAUAACAGCAGCACUCCCCCUUUCUUCUGCUCCCUCCCUCCCUCUCUCUUCCCCUCUCUCUAUCCCACCCCUCUCUUCCUCUCUCUCUCUACUGUGUCUCUCUCUACUGUGUGUCUCUCUCUCUCUCUCUACUGUCUCUCUCUCUCUCUUCCUCUCUCUCUCUACUCUACUCUCUCUCUCUCUCUCUUCUCUCUCUCUCUACUGUGUGUCUCUCUCUACUGUGUGUCUCUCUCUACUGUGUGUCUCUCUCUCUCUCUACUGUGUGUCUCUCUCUACUGUGUGUCUCUCUCUACUGUGUGUCUCUCUCUACUGUGUGUCUCUCUCUCUCUCUACUGUGUGUCUCUCUCUACUGUGUGUCUCUCUCUACUGUCUCUCUCUCUCUCUCUUCCUCUCUCUCUCUACUGUCUCUCUCUCUCUCUCUUCCUCUCUCUCUCUACUGUGUGUCUCUCUCUACUGUGUGUCUCUCUCUCUCUACUGUGUGUCUCUCUCUACUGUGUGUCUCUCUCUACUGUGUGUCUCUCUCUACUGUCUCUCUCUCUCUCUCUUCCUCUCUCUCUCUACUGUGUCUCUCUCUACUGUCUCUCUCUCUCUCUCUACUGUCUCUCUCUCUCUACUGUGUGUCUCUCUCUACUGUGUGUCUCUCUCUACUGUCUCUCUCUCUCUCUUCCUCUCUCUCUCUACUGUGUCUCUCUCUACUGUGUGUCUCUCUCUACUGUCUCUCUCUCUCUCUCUUCCUCUCUCUCUCUACUGUGUCUCUCUCUCUCUCUUCUCUCUCUCUCUACUGUCUCUCUCUACUGUCUCUCUCUCUACUGUCUCUCUCUCUACUGUCUCUCUCUCUACUGUCUCUCUCUCUCUACUGUCUCUCUCUCUCUCUGUAAAUGUUAAUAAAUAGAGUUUAAUCCAGUCACAAUGUCUCUGUGUCGUCUUGGUUUAAUCUUUAACCCAGAAUAGAACCGAGCAGAAUCCAUCCUGGUAUUCAGACUAACCAGUAACCAUGACAACAUACUGGCGGGAGCUCCAGGCUGCAGUGUGUACGUCUGGCCACAGGGUGGCGCUGAGGAGAGAGAGAAUGUACUACAUUAUAAACUGGUUGGUUCGAGUGCUGAUUGGCUGAAUGCCAUAGUAUAUCAGACAGUAUACCACAGGUAUGACAAGACAUUUGAUUUUUUUACUGCUCUAAUUACAUUGGUAACCAGUUUAUCAUAGCAACAAGGCACCUCAGGGGUUUGUGGUAUAUGACCAAUAUACCACGGCUAAGGGCUGUGACCAGGCACUCCGCGUUGUGUCGUGCUUAAGAUCAGUCUUUGGUAUAUUGGCCAUAUGCCACCUCCCCUCUGGCCUUAAUGCUUAAAUAUGCAGUUAUAUAUGGUCUCUAUGGAAACAAGG
ensembl:lncRNA